rnacentral:rRNA from 1 species
AACGAACGCUGGCGGCAUGCCUAACACAUGCAAGUCGAACGGGAUCCAGGCUUCGGCCUGGUGAGAGUGGCGGACGGGUGAGUAACACGUGGGAACCUGCCUUUUUGGUUCGGGAUAACCGCGGGAAACUGCGGCUAAUACCGGAUGCUCCCGAGAGGGGAAAGAUUUAUCGCCAGAAGAGGGGCCCGCGUCCGAUUAGGUAGUUGGUGAGGUAAUGGCUCACCAAGCCGACGAUCGGUAGCUGGUCUGAGAGGAUGAUCAGCCACACUGGGACUGAGAUACGGCCCAGACUCCUACGGGAGGCAGCAGUGGGGAAUAUUGGACAAUGGGGCAACCCUGAUCCAGCAAUGCCGCGUGAGUGAUGAAGGCCUUAGGUUGUAAAGCUCUUUGCCAGGGAAGAUGAUGACUGUACCUGG